rnacentral:rRNA from 1 species
UACGGAGGGGGCAAGCGUUGUCCGGACUUACUGGGCGUAAAGGGUGCGUAGGCGGCCUGCUGCGUCGGUGCUGAAAGCGCCCGGCUUAACCGGGCGAGGCGUGCCGAUACGAGCGGGCUGGAGCCUUGGCGAGGGUGGCGGAACUCCUGGUGUAGUGGUGAAAUGCGUAGAGAUCAGGAAGAACACCCGUGGCGCAAGCGGCCACCUGGCCAAGAGCUGACGCUGAGGCACGAGAGCGUGGGGAGCGAACGGG